AGAGUUUGAUCCUGGCUCAGGAUGAACGCUAGCGGCAGGCUUUACACAUGCAAGUCGAGGGGUAACAGGUUUUAGUUUACUAGAAUGCUGACGACCGGCGCACGGGUGAGUAACGCGUAUACAAUUUACCUUUUACAGGAGAAUAGCCCAGAGAAAUUUGGAUUAAUGCUCCAUGGUAUUAUUUGAUCACCUGAUCGAGUAAUUAAAGCUUCGGCGGUAAAAGAUGAGUAUGCGUCCUAUUAGCUGGAUGGUAAGGUAACGGCUUACCAUGGCGACGAUAGGUAGGGGUCCUGAGAGGGAGAUCCCCCACACUGGUACUGAGACACGGACCAGACUCCUACGGGAGGCAGCAGUGAGGAAUAUUGGGCAAUGGAGGCAACUCUGACCCAGCCAUGCCGCGUGCAGGAAGACGGCCCUAUGGGUUGUAAACUGCUUUUAUAUAGGAAGAAACUUAUCCACGUGUGGAUAACUGACGGUACUAUAAGAAUAAGCACCGGCUAACUCCGUGCCAGCAGCCGCGGUAAUACGGAGGGUGCAAGCGUUAUCCGGAAUCAUUGGGUUUAAAGGGUCCGUAGGCGGGCAAUUAAGUCAGAGGUGAAAUCCCACAGCUCAACUGUGGAACUGCCUUUGAUACUGGUUGUCUUGAGUUAUAGUGAAGUAGGCGGAAUGUAGCAUGUAGCGGUGAAAUGCAUAGAUAUGCUACAGAACACCGAUUGCGAAGGCAGCUUACUAAGCUAAAACUGACGCUCAGGCACGAAAGCGUGGGGAUCAAACAGGAUUAGAUACCCUGGUAGUCCACGCUGUAAACGAUGAUCACUCGUUGUUGGCGAUACACAGUCAGCGACUGAACGAAAGUAUUAAGUGAUCCACCUGGGGAGUACGCUCGCAAGAGUGAAACUCAAAGGAAUUGACGGGGGCCCGCACAAGCGGAGGAGCAUGUGGUUUAAUUCGAUGAUACGCGAGGAACCUUACCUGGGCUCAAACGUAGAGUGACCAUCUGCGAAAGCAGAUUUUCCUUCGGGACAGUCUACGAGGUGCUGCAUGGUUGUCGUCAGCUCGUGCCGUGAGGUGUCGGGUUAAGUCCCAUAACGAGCGCAACCCCUAUUCUUAGUUGCCAUCAGGUAAUGCUGGGGACUCUAAGAAAACUGCCUACGCAAGUAGUGAGGAAGGUGGGGAUGACGUCAAAUCAGCACGGCCCUUACGUCCAGGGCUACACACGUGCUACAAUGGUCGAUACAGAGGGCAGCUACCAUGUGAAUGGAUGCAAAUCUCGAAAAUCGAUCUCAGUUCGGAUCGAAGUCUGCAACUCGACUUCGUGAAGUUGGAUUCGCUAGUAAUCGCGCAUCAGCCAUGGCGCGGUGAAUACGUUCCCGGGCCUUGUACACACCGCCCGUCAAGCCAUGGAAGCUGGGGGUACCUGAAGUUCGUGACCGCAAGGAGCGACCUAGGGUAAAACUAGUAACUAGGGCUAAGUCGUAACAAGGUAACC
rnacentral:rRNA from 1 species